AUUUUGUAAUUAGCUUGAUCCAUGUUUGCUCUAAACAGUAUCUCUGAAUUUUGUAAGGAUAAUGAACGUAUGAAUGGCUCUGAAUGUCAAGUUUGUGUUGUCCAUCAAUUUUAGCAGCGGUAUAUAAUCUUUUUGCAAUCCCAAUAUCAUCAGCUGCCAUUCGUAUCUUAAGAUCUAUUUUCCUUGCUUUUAAUAUCAAGUUAUGAGUUCCAUUUCCAGAUUGCAACGCCUUUGGCCGUUAAUUGCAGCAACUUUUCUAAUGCAAUCACAGACAUACCUAGCUGCAGUUGUUAACCAAAGAUCUUUUUUACUUGCUUCUCCUAAGCAGUCCUUCUUGCAUUGUUCUAGCUAUCUCUUUUCCAUUUUAAGGGUUAUGAUGGUGAUUGCUGCUUCACUUGCUAGCCACUUUUUUUCCACUGGAUUUUUCUUUUGCUUUUGCUCGGUUUUGGAGAAGCAAAAAGACAACAUCGUUGAGGUGGUUAUCGAUCUGUACUUGUCUGUGGCGAACUCUAGCUGACUGUCCGGGUGGACGCUGCAAGGCGAAGGCUGUAGAGGUGAGGGUUCCCAUCUCUUGCUCUAUUGUGGCGCAAUCUAUUGUCUCAUAUGUGGCCGGCACGAGAGGCUUGAUCAUGUUCAAAAUGUGUUAUAUAGUGAAACAGAAUGUGGUUUUGGGUUCUAUUCUCACUGGCUGGAUUUAUCAUGAACGUGAGCAGCAGGGGAGGUGCGGAGUUAAUAGUGGUGCUUACGGACCAGGUGCAACUAUGUGGGUUUGCAACUCUUUUGCAUUAGAUACAUGAUGUGCAAAAGACAAUUUC